UGGCUAUAUCAUGUUAAAACACUGGGUCUUGUAUGAUCACUGAAGUUAAGCAACAUUAAGCCUAGCCAGUACCUAGAUGGGUGACUGUGUAAGAAUACCAGGUGCUGUAAG